UCCGGUGACUAUGGCAAAGAGGACACACCCGUUCCCAUCUCGAACACGGAAGUUAAGCUCUUUAGCGCAGACGAUAGUGAGCUGGAGACGGCUUGCGAAAAUAUGUCGUCGCCGGAU
rnacentral:rRNA from 1 species